rnacentral:rRNA from 1 species
AUGAGAGUGUCCAUUGAUGAGUGCAAAGAAAGAACCGCUAGAUUGCGUGCUAAGAAAGAUUGCUCUCUAAAGGCGUGUUCUUCUAGUUUCCGUGAAAAUAACGAUGAAGAACUUAAAGUUAUUUAUGUGUCCCCUAUUAGAUCUUUGUUUUUCAAUAUGAAUCUUAAUAAUUAUGGGACUGGAAAUGAGUCAACUUUAGCUAAAAGGCAUCCCAAUGAUUUGGAGUUUUUAGAUCAUGAUGCUAAAUUUGGUAAAAGUGGGGUUGGAGAGGUCAAGACUUUAAAUAGCAUUGAACCCACGAUCUUGGAUUUUAAGGAAUUUAAUUAUGAUAAUUUCUCUUCAGAAGGUUGUAUUUCCUUGUUGCAAUCCGUUGUGAAUUCUCAUCAUGCUUAUAGUCAAAAU